AUGGAGGAUGUGGCCAAGUUCUUGUUUGGGAUUUCAGGCAAUGUCAUUGCUCUGUUUCUCUUCCUAUCCCCGGUGCCUACUUUCUGGAGGAUCAUUCGUAACAAAUCCACAGAGGAAUUCUCCGGGGUGCCAUACAACAUGACGCUCCUCAACUGCCUCCUCUCCGCCUGGUACGGGCUGCCCUUCGUGUCCCCGAACAACGUCUUGGUGUCGACGAUCAACGGCGUGGGCGCGGUGAUCGAGACGGUGUACGUGGUGAUCUUCCUCGUCUUCGCGUCGAACAAGAAGGCGAGGCUCCGGACGCUCGGCCUGGCGUCGGCCGUCGCGGCGGUGUUCGCGGUCGUGGCGCUCGUCUCCAUGCUCGCCCUGCACGGCCCAGCACGCAAGCUCCUCGCCGGCCUGGCCAUGACCGUCUUCUCCAUCUGCAUGUACGCCUCGCCCCUCUCCAUCAUGAGGAUGGUGAUCAAGACGAAGAGCGUGGAGUACAUGCCGUUCCUGCUGUCGCUGGCGGUGUUCCUGUGCGGCACGUCGUGGUUCAUCUACGGCUUGCUCGGCCACGACCUCUUCGUCACGAUCCCCAACGGGUGCGGGAGCGUCCUGGGCGCCGCGCAGCUCAUUCUGUACGCCAUCUACCGGAACAACAAGGGCAACGCGGCCGGCGCCGGCAAGCUACAGGGCAACGACGUGGAGAUGUCCGCCGACGGCAGGAACAGCAAGGUCGCCGAUGGCGACGACCGCGGUGCGGCGGGGUUGACGAAGGCCGGCAAGAUGGCCAGCCAGGUUUAG
rnacentral:rRNA from 1 species